rnacentral:lncRNA from 1 species
UAAGGGAAUGGUAUAUACACUCUAAAAAACGCUGGGUUGGUUUUUUAACCCAAAUGCUGGGUUGAGACUGCUGGGUAACAAAAUUGGGUUGAUUCAACCCAAUUUGGGUUGAAAAUCGAUCUUUAUCUAUAACCCAGCAGUGCUGGGUUGGGAACGCGGACGUGAAAGAGAGCACGCACGUCACGUAAACAUGCAGGGACAUCAACGUGAGAAACCGCCAUUUUCUUUGAGCUGUCUUUGAGGGGAAGCGAGUGAAAUUCUGUGUGAGACGUAAGUUAUUUAGUGUGUAUUUAACAAUUUUCAUAAGAAAUAACACACUUAGUUUACUUAGUAUAAUAUACACGCGCUUUUUUUCUGUUUCUCCGCCUGAUGGCCGACUUGUUGCUCCGCCUCACGCUGACCUGUGCUCGCCUUAUGGCUGAACCGUUGCUCCGAGUCCGCCUGACGAGCCACCUGUUUCUCCGGAUCUGUUUCUCCGCCUAACGGCGACCUGUUUCUCCGGACCUGUUUCUCCGGACCUGUUUCUCCGCCUAACGGCGACCUGUUUCUCCGGACCUGUUUCUCCUAACGCCCGAGCUGUUGCUCCGCCUAACGCCUGACCUGUGCUCGCCUCACGCCCGACCUGUUGCUCCGCCUCACGCCCAGCCUGUUGAUCGGUGGACGGGUAAGCGCGCAUGGCAUCGGAAGGAGCUCGAAAAGUAUAAGAUGAUGACAGUAAGUAACGUUACUGUGAUUUGUGAUCUUUCUGGGGUGUUAACUGUAAAGCAAUGGAUAAUUGCGUGAAAAUCAAACUUAAAGAAUGCAAUCUUGAGGAGUUAAUCCCCACAUUUGAAGCACAGGAGCGAACCUUUCCUCGUUUUUAGGUCAAUUUGAAUACAAUUCAGAGGGGUGGCAUGGGGGUGCAGUGGGUAGUGCUGUCGCCUCACAGCAAGAUGGUCGCUGGUUUGAGCCUUGGAUGGGUUUCCCCUCCACAGUCCAAUGACAUGCGGUGUAGCUGAAUUGGAUUGGGACCAAUAUUGCUGAGUAUCUUCAUCCAUUGAAUUCAAGAAUCUAUUGAGUUUCCUCAUGUUCUCAUCCUUGGAGACCACCACUUCUUUCAAGCCUUUGCUCACGUGCUGUGCUAUUUAUUAUUGCAAAGUACAUUACUUGCCAAAGUGAACGUUUGCUAUAAAGCAUUCUACAUCUUUGGUGUGAACUACCCCAAGCAGUGUUCCCUGGUGUGGCAGACUGUGGUUUAUGGACAUCCUGGGGAGGAGACACUAGCAGUAAGGGUUCUGCUAGCAUUAAUUUUUGCUGACAAACAGUAAUCAUUAAUACUGUGACCUCACUGCUUCCUUGGAUUCUGUGUUCUUUAACUUGUACUUUGGAUUGUGGGGGAAAAGGAGCACCCAGAGAAAACCCACACGAACACGGGGAAAACAUGCAAACUCCACACAGAAACACCAACUGACCCAGCUGAGGCUUAAACCACCGACCUUGUUGCUGUGAGGCAAUCGUACUACCCACUGUGCCACCAUGACACCCAUUUCUAAAGAAUAGUUUUAAUAACUCAUUUCUAAUAACUGAUUUCUUUUCUCUUUGCUAUGAUGACGGCACAUAAUAAUGGACUAGAUAUUUUUUUAAGACACUCUACACUGCAGUUACAUUGCAACUAAUGUUUCUUACAGACUCUUUUAUAUCUCAGGAUUGAUGUUUGCACAUGAUUGUUCGAGUAAAAGUUAAAAAAAGUUUUCCUAUUUCAAAUUUGUUUUAAAAUGCUUCCAUCCUCAGGUUUCAUUUUAACUUUUAUAUCUGUUUUUUCUUCAAAACUGCAUUUACAUUGAACUUGAUCAUCCUUACUGAUGAUUGCUUUAUAGCUCAUAUAUUGAUGUUUGCACAUAAUUGUUAAAGGGAAAGUUAUAAAAUGUUUUCUUAUUUUUUCUUAAUAUAAAAUUUGUAUUUUCUUAGUUUUUAUUGUUUGUUUUGUUUUUUCAAGCUGUUUGAUGCCUUUUCAUUAUUACUUUCACAUAUUUUUUUCUGCAUUGCAGUUGAUGAUUUAUAUGAGAAUAUGUUGAUGUUUGUGCUCAAAUUACUUUCUGACUUCAGUCAUUUAGAUGCAUUUUCAUUAUUACUUCCUUAUACUAUUGUUUUUUCUACUCUGCAAUAACAUUGCAAUUGCCUUACUGAUGAUUCCUGAUUUAUAAAUGAUGCAAAUGUUUUUGAAUGUAUUUCAAAUAUGCAUUUUCUUAAGGUAAUUUGUCUGAUUUCAGUCUGAUGCAUUGUUACUGAACUUUAGUCAGUGUUUCUGUGAUACAGUUUGAUAAAUUUUCACAGAAAUCGUCUUAACAACCCUUUCAAAAAAAAAAUUGGAUUGCAUUUCUCAACUGCUAAUGUCGCUAUUGAACACAAUCAGUACAUUUUAACACAUAUUAUAAUUUCUAAAAUAUCAACCUCUACCAAAUGAUUGAUAUGUAUGUUUAUGGUAAAAGUACCAGAAUUAUGAAAAAUCUGAAAAAUUAUGUGUAAGACCAAUAAAAAAAAAAA